GGACCUUCUCUCUUCUCUCUUU
rnacentral:sRNA from 1 species